rnacentral:rRNA from 1 species
UACGUAGGGUGCGAGCGUUACUCGGAAUUACUGGGCGUAAAGCGUGCGCAGGCGGUUUUGUAAGCCAGAUGUGAAAUCCCCGGGCUCAACCUGGGAAUGGCAUUUGGGACUGCAAGGCUGGAGUUUGGCAGAGGAGACUGGAAUUCCCGGUGUAGCAGUGAAAUGCGUAGAUAUCGGGAGGAAUACCGAUGGCGAAGGCAGGUCUCUGGGCUAUAACUGACGCUCAUGCACGAAAGCGUGGGGAGCAAACAGG